rnacentral:rRNA from 1 species
UGCAAGUCGAGGGGCAGCACAGGUAGCAAUACUGGGUGGCGACCGGCAAACGGGUGCGGAACACGUACGCAACCUACCUUUUAGUGGGGAAUAGCCCGGAGAAAUCCGGAUUAAUACCCCGUAAGAUAUUGGUGAGGCAUCUCACAGAUAUAAAAGCUCCGGCACUUAAAGAUGGGCGUGCGGCUGAUUAGGUAGUUGGUGAGGUAACGGCUCACCAAGCCGACGAUCAGUAACUGGCGUGAGAGCGCGACCAGUCACACGGGCACUGAGACACGGGCCCGACUCCUACGGGAGGCAGCAGUAAGGAAUAUUGGUCAAUGGACGCAAGUCUGAACCAGCCAUGCCGCGUGGAGGAUGAAGGUCCUCUGGAUUGUAAACUUCUUUUAUUUGGGAAGAAAUGUGGUUUAUCUAAAUCAUUUGACGGUACCAGAUGAAUAAGCACCGGCUAACUCCGUGCCAGCAGCCGCGGUAAUACGGAGGGUGCAAGCGUUAUCCGGAUUCACUGGGUUUAAAGGGUGCGUAGGCGGAUCUGUAAGUCAGUGGUGAAAUCUCCAGGCUUAACCUGGAAACUGCCGUUGAUACUAUAGGUCUUGAAUUUUGUGGAGGUUAGCGGAAUAUGUCAUGUAGCGGUGAAAUGCAUAGAUAUGACAUAGAACACCAAUUGCGAAGGCAGCUGGCUACACAACUAUUGACGCUGAGGCACGAAAGCGUGGGGAUCAAACAGGAUUAGAUACCCUGGUAGUCCACGCCCUAAACGAUGGAUACUCGACAUUUGCGAUAUACA